rnacentral:rRNA from 1 species
ACAGGGAUUGCCCUAGUAACGGCGAGUGAAGCGGCAAUAGCUCAAAUUUGAAAGCUGGCUUAUGGCCCGCAUUGUAAUUUGUAGAGGAUGCUUUUAGGCAGCCGCCGGUCUAAGUUCCUUGGAACAGGACGUCAUAGAGGGUGAGAAUCCCGUAUGUGACCGGCUCUGGCACCUUAUGUAAAGCUCCUUCGACGAGUCGAGUUGUUUGGGAAUGCAGCUCUAAAUGGGAGGUAAAUUUCUUCUAAAGCUAAAUACUGGCGAGAGACCGAUAGCGCACAAGUAGAGUGAUCGAAAGAUGAAAAGCACUUUGGAAAGAGAGUUAAAAAGCACGUGAAAUUGUUGAAAGGGAAGCGCUUGCAAUCAGACUUGGACUUGGCUGUUCAACAGGUCUUCUGACCUGCCUAUUCAGUCUUGUCCAGGCCAGCAUCAGUUUCGGCGGCCGGAUAAAGGCCCUGGGAAUGUGGCUUUCCCUUCGGGGGAAGUGUUAUAGCCCAGGGUGUAAUACGGCCAGCUGGGACUGAGGUCCGCGCUUCGGCUAGGAUGCUGGCGUAAUGGUUGUAAGCGGCCCGUCUUGAAACACGGACCAAGGAGUCUAACAUCUAUGCGAGUGUUAGGGUGUCAAACCCUUACGCGUAAUGAAAGUGAACGGAGGUGAGAACCCGCAAGGGUGCAUCAUCGACCGAUCCUGAUGUCUUCGGAUGGAUUUGAGUAAGAGCAUAGCUGUUGGGACCCGAAAGAUGGUGAACUAUGCCUGAAUAGGGUGAAGCCAGAGGAAACUCUGGUGGAGGCUCGCAGCGGUUCUGACGUGCAAAUCGAUCGUCAAAUUUGGGUAUAGGGGCGAAAGACUAAUCGAACCA